CCCGAGCACCUCGGGGACUGUGGGGCAGGGCGGCCCCGAGACCCCCGCCCGGCCCAGCCGAGCAGCACAAAGAAGUGUGGACUAGAGUGGUGGGGGCGGUCAGCAAGGAGGCUGAUACAGUAAUCACAGAGGGAUAGGGGCCUAGUACAGUGCUCUGCACUCAGGGCACACUCGAGAAAUGUCAUCGAUUGAUAGAACCUGAGGACUUAACUCUUCAUUCAGGCUCAGCAACAGAUGUCUUCAAGGCCAGUAACACCUAUCUA